GAUGAACGCUGGCGGCGUGCUUAACACAUGCAAGUCGAACGAAGCAUUUGCGGCAGAUUUUUUCGGAAUGAAGUUGCUUAUGACUGAGUGGCGGACGGGUGAGUAACGCGUGGGUAACCUGCCUUGUACUGGGGGAUAGCAGCUGGAAACGGCUGGUAAUACCGCAUAAGCGCACAAUGUUGCAUGACAUGGUGUGAAAAACUCCGGUGGUAUAAGAUGGACCCGCGUCUGAUUAGCUAGUUGGUGAGAUAACAGCCCACCAAGGCGACGAUCAGUAGCCGACCUGAGAGGGUGACCGGCCACAUUGGGACUGAGACACGGCCCAGACUCCUACGGGAGGCAGCAGUGGGGAAUAUUGCACAAUGGAGGAAACUCUGAUGCAGCGACGCCGCGUGAGUGAAGAAGUAAUUCGUUAUGUAAAGCUCUAUCAGCAGGGAAGAUAGUGACGGUACCUGACUAAGAAGCUCCGGCUAAAUACGUG
rnacentral:rRNA from 1 species